UACGGAGGGUGCAAGCGUUGUUCGGAUUUAUUGGGCGUAAAGAGCGUGUAGGCGGUUCUGCAAGUCGAGUGUGAAAUCCCGGGGCUUAACCCCGGAAUUGCGCCCGAAACUGCAGGACUUGAGUACGGGAGAGGUAGGUGGAAUUCCUGGUGUAGAGGUGAAAUUCGUAGAUAUCAGGAGGAACACCCGUGGCGAAAGCGACCUACUGGACCGAUACUGACGCUGAGACGCGAAAGCGUGGGGAG
rnacentral:rRNA from 1 species